UGGGGAAUCUUCCGCAAUGGACGAAAGUCUGACGGAGCAACGCCGCGUGAGUGAUGACGGCCCUCGGGUUGUAAAGCUCUGUUAAUCGGGACGAAAGGCCUUCUUGCGAAUAGUGAGAAGGAUUGACGGUACCGGAAUAGAAAGCCACGGCUAACUACGUGCCAGCAGCCGCGGUAAUACGUAGGUGGCAAGCGUUGUCCGGAAUUAUUGGGCGUAAAGCGCGCGCAGGCGGAUAGGUCAGUCUGUCUUAAAAGUUCGGGGCUUAACCCCGUGAUGGGAUGGAAACUGCCAAUCUAGAGUAUCGGAGAGGAAAGUGGAAUUCCUAGUGUAGCGGUGAAAUGCGUAGAUAUUAGGAAGAACACCAGUGGCGAAGGCGACUUUCUGGACGAAAACUGACGCUGAGGCGCGAAAGCCAGGGGAGCGAACGGGAUUAGAUACCCCGGUAGUCCUGGCCGUAAACGAUGGGUACUAGGUGUAGGAGGUAUCGACCCCUUCUGUGCCGGAGUUAACGCAAUAAGUACCCCGCCUGGGGAGUACGACCGCAAGGUUG
rnacentral:rRNA from 1 species